rnacentral:misc_RNA from 1 species
AGCAGCCGCGGUAAUUCCAGCUCCAAUAGCGUAUAUUAAAGUUGUUGCAGUUAAAAAGCUCGUAGUUGAAUUUCGGGAUUGACGUGAUGGUCGUGCCUUACGGGGUAUGAACUGUUGCAGUCAAUUUCUCACCUUCUGGAGAAAUAUGAUGUCCUUAAUUGGGUGUCAUAUGGAACCAGAACUUUUACCUUGAAAAAAUUAGAGUGUUUAAAGCAGGCUUAUUGCUCGAAUACAUUAGCAUGGAAUAAUAAAAUAGGACGGCAUGGUUCUAUUUUGUUGGUUUCUAGGAUCACCGUAAUGAUUAAUAGGGAUAGUUGGGGGCAUUAGUAUUCAAUUGUCAGAGGUGAAAUUCUUGGAUUUAUUGAAGACUAACUACUGCGAAAGCAUUUGCCAAGGAUGUUUUCAUUAAUCAAGAACGAAAGUUAGGGGAUCGAAGACGAUCAGAUACCGUCGUAGUCUUAACCAUAAACUAUGCCGACUAGGAAUCAGACGAUGUUAAUUUUUUUC